rnacentral:lncRNA from 1 species
AGCUAAAAGUCAAUUACUCCAGCAGAAGUUCUAAGGAACUCCUUUCGUUGCCCCAGGCUCUUGGAGAAGGCACAUGACGUCAAACACUGGAUAAUCCAUAGUAUGGUCCCCUCCAUAUUUUAA